UAAAAAGUUCUAUUUGAUUACUUGAAUGAA
rnacentral:piRNA from 1 species